GGAAUCUUGGACAAUGGGCGAAAGCCUGAUCCAGCGACGCCGCGUGGGUGAUGAAGGCCUUCGGGUUGUAAAGCCCUUUCGCCGGGGACGAUGAUGACGGUACCAGGAGAAGAAGCACCGGCUAACUCCGUGCCAGCAGCCGCGGUAAGACGGCGGGUGCUAGCGUUGUUCGGAAUCACGGGGCGUAAAGGGCGGGUAGGCGGCUUCGGCAGUCGGGUGUGAAAGCCCGGGGCUCAACCCCGGAACGGCACUCGAUACUCCGAGGCUCGAGGUCGGAAGAGGAGGGUGGAAUACCCAGUGUAGAGGUGAAAUUCGUAGAUAUUGGGUGGAACACCGGUGGCGAAAGCGGCUCUCUGGUCCGAACCUGACGCUGAGGCGCGAAAGCGUGGGGAGCAAAC
rnacentral:rRNA from 1 species